rnacentral:tRNA from 1 species
UGAGGUGCAGCUCAGUGGUAGAGCACUUGCCUAGCAUGCGUGAGGUCCUGGGGGUUGGAUCCCCAGUUCAA